rnacentral:rRNA from 1 species
UUUUAGUGGCGGACGGGUGAGUAACGCGUGGGUAACCUGCCCCACACUGGGGGAUAACACUUAGAAAUAGGUGCUAAUACCGCAUAAGCGCACGGGACUGCAUGGUCUUGUGUGAAAAACUCCGGUGGUGUGAGAUGGACCCGCGUCUGAUUAGCUGGUUGGCGGGGUAACGGCCCACCAAGGCGACGAUCAGUAGCCGGCCUGAGAGGGUGGACGGCCACAUUGGGACUGAGACACGGCCCAAACUCCUACGGAAGGCAGCAG